rnacentral:rRNA from 1 species
AGAGUUUGAUCCUGGCUCAGAUUGAACGCUGGCGGCAUGCCUUACACAUGCAAGUCGAACGGCAGCGCGGGAGCAAUCCUGGCGGCGAGUGGCGAACGGGUGAGUAAUAUAUCGGAACGUGCCCAAGAGUGGGGGAUAACUAGUCGAAAGAUUAGCUAAUACCGCAUACGAUCUACGGAUGAAAGUGGGGGAUUCGCAAGAACCUCAUGCUCCUGGAGCGGCCGAUAUCUGAUUAGCUAGUUGGUGGGGUAAAAGCCCACCAAGGCGACGAUCAGUAGCUGGUCUGAGAGGACGACCAGCCACACUGGGACUGAGACACGGCCCAGACUCCUACGGGGGGCAGCAGUGGGGAAUUUUGGACAAUGGGCGCAAGCCUGAUCCAGCAAUGCCGCGUGUGU